GCCAUUUUCUGACAUUUGAAAAGAUCUGAAGAUACGCCCCUUGGAUGCCUGCAGAGAAGCUCUGGGGUUUCAGUCAAUGACUCAGGGUAGCCACUGAACAUGACGCUCGCAGUGGGUGCCACCUGGACUCCACUCUCCUCUCUCUCUGGGAUCAUAGAGUCCAAGGUGUUCUGUGGCCUCUCGGCCAGUCCCAGCAGCUCAGCGUGCAGAAGACCGAGGAGCCAUUGGAAAAGAAAAAGAGAACAUAUAUCCCCCUACCUUUUGAUUUCCAACAGUCUACUGAGAGGCCAACAUUAUUUGCAGGGAAAGAAAAGGGGUCAAAUUGUUUUGCCAGUCACUCCCAAAUCAUCUACAGCCAAGGGGAGAAGUGUAUCAAGACGGAGGUGCUCAACGGUAUCAAAUACUGCCAAGAGACCAAGUAAUACAUGCACUGAAGUGUCUACUGGAUCUAGCUAUAUGUUAUGGUGGAAAACACUAGAAAUGAAGAUUUUGUCCCCAGGGAUGGGGGAUACAAGUUACCAAAGAAGUGGUGAGAAAAGGAAAUUUUAAUUUAGGACACUUAGGCCAUACUGAAGCAAGGUGACAAAAUGAAUAGCUACAAUGUCUCAUGAAUCUUGGGUUUCCAUUCACCCUGGUAUUCAAGAGAAAUUCUUGCAUCAUGGAAGUUGAAGUUGGAUAGGACUUUCUCAGCUGAACACUGUCAUCUGCCAGAGCUUCAG
rnacentral:sRNA from 1 species